UUUUCCUACGGGAGGCAGCAGUGGGGAAUAUUGCACAAUGGGGAAACCCUGAUGCAGCGACGCCGCGUGAAGGAAGAAGUAUUUCGGUAUGUAAACUUCUAUCAGCAGGGAAGAAAAUGACGGUACCUGACUAAGAAGCCCCGGCUAACUACGUGCCAGCAGCCGCGGUAAUACGUAGGGGGCAAGCGUUAUCCGGAUUUACUGGGUGUAAAGGGGGCGCAGACGGCGAUGCAAGCCAGGAGUGAAAGCCCGGGGCCCAACCCCGGGACUGCUCUUGGAACUGCGUGGCUGGAGUGCAGGAGGGG
rnacentral:rRNA from 1 species